UACGGAGGGGGCGAGCGUUAUUCGGAAUUAUUGGGCGUAAAGGGCGCGUAGGCGGCCCGGUAAGUCAAAGGUGAAAUCCCUCGGCUCAACUGAGGAACUGCCUUUGAAACUGUCGGGCUUGAGGCCGGGAGGGGGUAGCGGAAUUCCCAGUGCAGCGGUGAAAUGCGUAGAUACUGGGAGGAACACCAGUGGCGAAGGCGGCUACCUGGACCGGUUCUGACGCUGAUGCGCGAAAGCGUGGGGAGCAAACAGGG
rnacentral:rRNA from 1 species